rnacentral:rRNA from 1 species
AGUGAACGCUGGCGGUAGGCCUAACACAUGCAAGUCGAACGGCAGCACAGUAAGAGCUUGCUCUUACGGGUGGCGAGUGGCGGACGGGUGAGGAAUACAUCGGAAUCUACUUUUUCGUGGGGGAUAACGUAGCGAAACUUACGCUAAUACCGCAUACGACCUACGGGUGAAAGCAGGGGAUCUUCGGACCUUGCGCGAUUGAAUGAGCCGAUGUCGGAUUAGCUAGUUGGCGGGGUAAAGGCCCACCAAGGCGACGAUCCGUAGCUGGUCUGAGAGGAUGAUCAGCCACACUGGAACUGAGACACGGUCCAGACUCCUACGGGAGGCAGCAGUGGGGAAUAUUGGACAAUGGGCGCAAGCCUGACCCAGCCAUACCGCGUGGGUGAAGAAGGCCUUCGGGUUGUAAAGCCCUUUUGUUGGGAAAGAAAAGCAGCAGGUGAAUACCCCGCUGUUCUGACGGUACCCAAAGAAUAAGCACCGGCUAACUUCGUG